GAUGAACGCUGGCGGCGUGCCUAAUACAUGCAAGUCGAGCGAACGGACGAUAAGCUUGCUUCUCUGAUGUUAGCGGCGGACGGGUGAGUAACACGUGGAUAACCUACCUAUAAGACUGGGAUAACUUCGGGAAACCGUAUCUAAUACCGGAUCAUAUUUUGAACCGCAUGGUUCAAAAGUGAAAGACGGUCUUGCUGUCACUUAUAGAUGGAUCCGCGCUGCAUUAGCUAGUUGGUAAGGUAACGGCUUACCAAGGCAACGAUGCAUAGCCGACCUGAGAGGGUGAUCGGCCACACUGGAACUGAGACACGGUCCAGACUCCUACGGGAGGCAGCAGUAGGGAAUCUUCCGCAAUGGGCGAAAGCCUGACGGAGCAACGCCGCGUGAGUGAUGAAGGUCUUCGGAUCGUAAAACUCUGUUAUUAGGGAAGAACAUAUGUGUAAGUAACUGUGCACAUCUUGACGGUACCUAAUCAGAAAGCCACGGCUAACUACGUG
rnacentral:rRNA from 1 species